AUUGAACGCUGGCGGAAGGCCUAACACAUGCAAGUCGAACGAGUGGCGGAAGGGUGAGUAAUGUCUGGGAAACUGCCUGAUGGAGGGGGAUAAAUACUGGAAACGGUAGCUAAUACAGCAUACCAUCGGAUGUGCACAGAUGGGAUUAGCUAGUAGGUGGGGUAACGGCCAACCUAGGCGAAGAUCCCUAGCUGGUCUUAGAGGAUGACCAGCCCCACUGGAACUGAGACACGGUCCCGACUCCUACGGGAGGCAUCAUGGGUGAAUAUUGCACAAUGGGCGCAAGCCUGAUGCAGCCAUGCCGCGUGUAUGAAGAAGGCCUUCGGGUUGUAAAGUACUUUCAGCGGGGAGGCGUUACCCGCAGAAGAAGCACCGGCUAACUCCGUGCCAGCAGCCGCGGUAAUUC
rnacentral:rRNA from 1 species